CUGUUGGUUAUGUGUGCCCAAGCAUUGAGGCAGUCAGAGUAGGUAAAUCCGCUUUGAUAAUGCUGGGAUGUGAUGGGGAGCGAAAUUUAGUAGCGAAGUAGCUGAUUUCACACUGUCAAGAAAAGUCCCUAUCGAGGUUAAAGGUACCCGUACCGCAAACCGACACAGGUGGGUGAGGAGAGUAUCCUAAGGCCCGCGAGAG
rnacentral:rRNA from 1 species